UCUGCCCUUCCCUUUGUUAUUUUCAUCCUAUACUUGCUUUUGGCUAAUUCUGUUGCCACCUUUGAAACUGUGCGAUGAAUGAUUCACCCGGUAUUAGGUUCCACAUCUACUUUCCUAGCCUCUACUUUGUGAUGAUGGUUCUGAAGACAACAUGUCUCCUUUGUCAGAAGGCUUACUAUUAAUUUCCAUCAAUAGGAAGAACUAGGGGAAGAGUAAAUGGCAGGAGAAGGGGAGAAGGAACUUGUUCAUUUCUGCUUGUUUAUUUUUUCCCAUCAGAUCACCCCACUUUGGCCUUUUACCCUGGCAGCAGCUGUUAAUUACAGCUUUCAGAUCAUCGGGCCAUUCCCACUAACAGAGUCAUUGUGCCCCUUCACGACCACCAGCUGCAGAGCCCACUCAUUAUGUGUCUGCAUCUCAACAUCACAGGACCUCUUCCCAACUUCUGAGGUACCAGCACUAGCUGGUAGCUCCUCACUUCAGAGGUUAGGCCCCCAUUGUGUGAGACCCUCCCUCCAAGCUCCUGAGAUUUCAGUAGCAGCCUCCUUGGAGAUGACUCAAAACUGAGGCUAAUUAUCAGAAUAACCACAGGAGAUUUUAAAUACACAGAUGUCUGAGCCUCAUUCCUGAAGCUGGGUUCAGUAAACAAGACUGAAGCCCAUUUGAAGCCAUGAAUAAAAAACAGAAUCAGUUGCUAAACCCUGCAGCCUUGAACCUGUACCCAUUAUGGGACCUGAAUUCCUAUAUGGACACAAAGAGUAUGAAAAUUCCAAGCCCAGAACUUGAGCAAACACUGAAAUGAGGCUCUUGCCUUUCCCAGGGCUCCACAGAGGUACUCAAGAUUUCUAUUUGGCCCUUUAAUAUCUGCUUAGCCUUUCUUUUUAACAUAAUUUAUUGUUUGUACAUUAUUUUCUAUUUUUUCUUAAUUUCCCUGAAUAUUUAAACACACUCAUUUUAAGAUUACAUUCUUUUUAUACUAAUCUGAAGUUCCUUGGAUGUAGACAGAAAGUCUACACCACUCAGAACACACAUAGUAACAUUAUCCAUUCCAAAAUGUGCUCACGAAAAGUAUCUAUGAUGCCAAAAGGAAACCAAAUGAGAGAAAAUCAGAAGAAAAGGAAAGGGAACAAAUUGGCUGUGCGCGGUGGCUCAAGCC
rnacentral:lncRNA from 1 species